GGGUGUAGCUCAGUGGUAGAGCACAUGCUUAGCAUGCAUGAGGUUCUGGGUUCAAUCCCCAGUACCUCCA
rnacentral:tRNA from 1 species